rnacentral:tRNA from 1 species
GGUGGUACAAUGGUUAAACACUCGGCUGCUAACCGAAAGGUCGGUGGUUCAAACCCACCAGCCA